rnacentral:rRNA from 1 species
AAGCGGUGGAGCAUGUGGUUUAAUUCGAUGCAACGCGAAGAACCUUUACCUGGUCUUGACAUCCACGGAAGUUUUCAGAGAUGAGAAUGUGCCUUCGGGAACCGUGAGACAGGUGCUGCAUGGCUGUCGUCAGCUCGUGUUGUGAAAUGUUGGGUUAAGUCCCGCAACGAGCGCAACCCUUAUCCUUUGUUGCCAGCGGUCCGGCCGGGAACUCAAAGGAGACUGCCAGUGAUAAACUGGAGGAAGGUGGGAUGACGUCAAGUCAUCAUGGCCCUUACGACCAGGGCUACACACGUGCUACAAUGGCGCAUACAAAGAGAAGCGACCUCGCGAGAGCAAGCGGACCUCAUAAAGUGCGUCGUAGUCCGGAUUGGAGUCUGCAACUCGACUCCAUGAAGUCGGAAUCGCUAGUAAUCGUGGAUCAGAAUGCCACGGUGAAUACGUUCCCGAGCCUU